rnacentral:rRNA from 1 species
UAUCAAUAAGCGGAGGAAAAGAAACUAACAAGGAUUCCCCUAGUAACUGCGAGUGAAGCGGGAAAAGCUCAAAUUUAAAAUCUGGUGGCCUUUGGUCAUCCGAGUUGUAAUUUAGAGAAGCGUCUUCCGCGCUGGACCAUGCACAAGUCUCCUGGAAUGGAGCGUCAUAGAGGGUGAGAAUCCCGUCUUUGGCAUGGAUGUACCAGGGCUUCUGUGAUGCGCUCUCGAAGAGUCGAGUUGUUUGGGAAUGCAGCUCAAAAUGGGUGGUGAACUCCAUCUAAAGCUAAAUAUUGGCGAGAGACCGAUAGCGAACAAGUACCGUGAGGGAAAGAUGAAAAGCACUUUGGAAAGAGAGUGAAACAGUACGUGAAAUUGUUGAAAGGGAAACGCUUGAAGUCAGUCGCGUCGACCGAGACUCAGCCUCGCCUUGGCUUGGUGUACUUCUCGGCCGACGGGUCAGCAUCAAUUUUGCGCCUCGGAUAAUGACAAGGGAAAGGUAGCACCUUUAUAGGUGUGUUAUAGUCUCUUGUCGCAUGCGAGGGUUGGGAUUGAGGAACUCAGCACGCGCCUUUUGGCGUCGGGGCUUCGCCUACGAUACGUGCUUAGGAUGCUGGCAUAAUGGCUUUAAACGACC